rnacentral:rRNA from 1 species
UACGUAGGUGGCGAGCGUUAUCCGGAAUUACUGGGUGUAAAGGGUGAGUAGGCGGGAGAGCAAGUCAGGUGUGAAAUGCAGGGGCUUAACCCCUGAACUGCACUUGAAACUGUUCUUCUUGAGAGUCGGAGGGGUAAUCGGAAUUCCCAGUGUAGCGGUGAAAUGCGCAGAGAUUGGGAGGAACACCAGUGGCGAAGGCGGAUUACUGGACGACAACUGACGCUGAUACACGAAAGCGUG